AGGGAUGUAGUUUAGUGGUAGAGCAUUUGUCUAGCAUGAACAAGAACCUAGGUUUGAUCCCUAACAUUUCAA
rnacentral:tRNA from 1 species